rnacentral:rRNA from 1 species
GAUGAACGCUAGCGGCAGGCCUAAUACAUGCAAGUCGAACGAUACCAGAGAGCUUGCUUUCUGGGAAAGUGGCGCACGGGUGCGUAACGCGUAUGCAACCUACCUUAAUCAGGGGGAUAGCCUCUCGAAAGAGAGAUUAACACCGCAUAAAAUCACACUUCGGCAUCGAAGAAUGAUCAAAUAUUUAUAGGAUUAAGAUGGGCAUGCGUGACAUUAGCUAGUUGGUAAGGUAACGGCUUACCAAGGCUACGAUGUCUAGGGGAUCUGAGAGGAUGACCCCCCACACUGGUACUGAGACACGGACCAGACUCCUACGGGAGGCAGCAGUAAGGAAUAUUGGUCAAUGGGGGCAACCCUGAACCAGCCAUGCCGCGUGCAGGAAGACGGCCCUACGGGUUGUAAACUGCUUUUAUACGGGAAUAAAUCUCGCUACGUGUAGUGAGUUGAAUGUACUGUAAGAAUAAGGAUCGGCUAACUCCGUGCCAGCAGCCGACGG